CCUUCACGAGAUGUUCCCUUUAUAGCACCCGUAACCAAUCUAGCUGCUUCAUACUGGAGUUGUUCAAGAAGAUCAUUAUCAGUUUCGUUACAACCAUCCCAAACAAUAUCUGCAUAUUCCAAGCAUGAACGAACCAGAUAUUUAUACAAGGUAUCAAGUGUUUUCCUGGUUCAUAGGUUUAAGCAUAUUUAAACGUUUUGAGGCUUUUUGAUGGAUUUUUAAAAUGUGAGAACGCC